AAGGCUCUUUCGUGGGUUGCAAUACCUUAGACAUCUAGUCCCAAAAAUAUCUCUUCUCUGCCCUAUAUGGGUUACCAUACACCUAAGAUGCCUUUAUCCACACCCCCUUCCCAUACUCUCUCAUGGAUGAAUGAAUGAUGUUGUUUGUUGAAAACUCCACCCUAACUUCCGUUGGCUCAUGCCACCAUAAGCUCAACCCGCUCACCACACCAAUUGGUGGGACAUUGAAGCCCUGACUGUAUCCUAUUCUCCUUCGAAUUCCUUCUAAUCUGUGGCAUUUCAUCUUUUUUUUCUGAUAGAAAAACCACAAAGGGUCUAUGCUUCCUGAUUAGGCCGUGAACAGCCCGAA
rnacentral:lncRNA from 1 species